UACAGAGGUCUCAAGCGUUGUUCGGAUUCAUUGGGCGUAAAGGGUGCGUAGGCGGCGCGGUAAGUCGGGUGUGAAAUCUCGGAGCUUAACUCCGAAACUGCAUUCGAUACUGCCGUGCUUGAGGACUGGAGAGGAGACUGGAAUUUACGGUGUAGCGGUGAAAUGCGUAGAUAUCGUAAGGAAGACCAGUGGCGAAGGCGGGUCUCUGGACAGUUCCUGCCGCUGAGGCACGAAGGCUAGGGGAGCAAACGGG
rnacentral:rRNA from 1 species